UACGUAGGGGGCAAGCGUUGUCCGGAAUCAUUGGGCGUAAAGAGCGUGUAGGCGGUUCGAUAAGUCUGCUGUGAAAGUCCAGGGCUCAACCCUGGGAUGCCGGUGGAUACUGUCGGGCUAGAGUGCGGUAGGGGAGACUGGAAUUCCUGGUGUAGCGGUGAAAUGCGCAGAUAUCAGGAGGAACACCGGUGGCGAAGGCGGGUCUCUGGGACGUUACUGACGCUGAGACGCGAAAGCGUGGGGAGCAAACAGG
rnacentral:rRNA from 1 species